rnacentral:lncRNA from 1 species
UUGAGUUCAGUUAAUUCCUAAUUGGAUUAGAAAUUUAUUGAGAAGAUUGUGUUCCUAAUUAGAUUAGGUUACUUCCUCUCAUUGGGUCCAAACCAAAUCUAAUUUGGAUUGGAAUCAAAUUUGAAACGGAGAGUCCUAGCUGGGACUCUCUCCCUUGCGCAUGCCCUAAGUCCCACGCCAUCUCUUUAACGCAAAAUAAGUUUUGCAUAAAAUUUUUUGGACAUAAGAAUGGAGGGCACAAGAGGGGUGGGCAGCACUCAUGAUGAGCCAUCGUCCUUAUUUCCUUUCUGAUUUAAAUUUGAUCUAAGUCCAAGAUAAGGAGAUAAAAAGGAAAAAGAUCGGAUUUCUUGAAAAGUUUUGGUGGUGCCAAAUAUUUUUUUCCUAUUUUCAUUGGGUUGUUGGUUUGCGUGAAAAAGAUCUAAUUUUUUUCUCACGCCAUCACACAAUUUUAAAAAUUUAGGAUGCCCCAUUCGGUGGUUGGCACAGAGAUAGUUGGCGCCUCCUCCAAACCCUAAACUCUAGCCCCAUUUAUUUAAAGGGGGUCCAAUAGUUGGAUGCCACAUAUGAGAAAUAGUUGAAAAUUGGUUUCUUCUGCAUAGCUCUCUUCUCUUCCUUCAUUAAUUCUUCUCUCUCUCUAGAGUGUCUAAGAGAUCAAGAGAAGAAGAAGAAAAUUAGCCAUCAA